AUUGAACGCUGGCGGCAGGCCUAACACAUGCAAGUCGAGCGGAUGAAGGGAGCUUGCUCCUGGAUUCAGCGGCGGACGGGUGAGUAAUGCCUAGGAAUCUGCCUGGUAGUGGGGGAUAACGUCCGGAAACGGGCGCUAAUACCGCAUACGGCCUGAGGGAGAAAGUGGGGGAUCUUCGGACCUCACGCUAUCAGAUGAGCCUAGGUCGGAUUAGCUAGUUGGUGGGGUAAAGGCCUACCAAGGCGACGAUCCGUAACUGGUCUGAGAGGAUGAUCAGUCACACUGGAACUGAGACACGGUCCAGACUCCUACGGGAGGCAGCAGUGGGGAAUAUUGGACAAUGGGCGAAAGCCUGAUCCAGCCAUGCCGUGUGUGAAGAAGGUCUUCGGAUUGUAAAGCACUUUAAGUUGGGAGGAAGGGCAGUAAGUUAAUACCUUGCUGUUUUGACGUUACCAACAGAAUAAGCACCGGCUAACUUCGUG
rnacentral:rRNA from 1 species